UACGUAGGGUGCGAGCGUUGUCCGGAAUUACUGGGCGUAAAGAGCUCGUAGGUGGUUUGUCGCGUUGUCCGUGAAAACUCACAACUCAAUUGUGGGCGUGCGGGCGAUACGGGCAGACUGGAGUACUGCAGGGGAGACUGGAAUUCCUGGUGUAGCGGUGAAAUGCGUAGAUAUCAGGAGGAACACCGGUGGCGAAGGCGGCUAUCUGGACAGAAACUGACGCUGAGGCGCGAAAGCUAGGGGAGCAAACAGG
rnacentral:rRNA from 1 species